AUGACAUCUUAGUCCCUUGCCAUGUUCUGUGACAGUGGGGGAAGACCCAGCUUACAAGACAGCUGGUUCUAUUUUUCCAGGUGAGGUCUCAAUGUAAAGAAAUGGCUGUGGAUGAAAUGAGAAGUGGAGGUGGAAUGUACCAGUUUCAAGGUAGGGGAUAUGGUUGGCUAUAUGAUGAAUUUUAGAUUUCCUUGGUGUGUGCAAGCAGUAUACAUCAUUAGAACAAGAUAGGAUAGGGGCAACAGCGUCUGAAGAUGUGAAUGGUUUCUACCACUUGUUGUUACUGUGAAUGCUCUUCCUGUGGAUUGAAAUUCAGAGGCUAUAAAGAUGACAUUUAAGAAAUGACCCCUUUUGUGCAUUAUCUGUUGCAAGUUGGGAGAGGAAAGUUUCUUUUUUUAUAUGUUUAGUUGACACCUAAUAAUUAUACAUACUUAUGGGGUACAGAGUAUUUCCAUACAUGCAUAUGAUGUUUAGUGAUCAAAUAGGUAAUUAGCGUAUCCAUCAGCUCAAACAUCGAUCCUUUCUUUGUGUUGGGAACAUUCAAAAUCCUCUCUUCCAGCGUUGGACCACAUACAAUAAAUGAUUGUUAACCAAAUUCCAAAUUCACCCUGCGGUGUGAAGAGGAAAGGUUCUUUGUCGGACAUUAUUCCAGGGCACUUACUUGCUGGCGUGCUCCCUGCCUCUCCUGCUCCAUUCCUCAGCUGCCAAGUGCUGGCAGGGUUGUGUGUGCAGUUGCAAGUUGUCACUUGGGUAAUAAAGGAGAAGGAGCAUAGCUUGGCAGACUCUCCGACAUGGCCAUGUGCAUCCUGCGCAAAUAGAAUUAUGAUUAAUGACUAGCCUGGCAGCUGAAUUGGACUAGAGAACUUGGCCGAGGUCAAGGUAGGCCCAAGGAGCAGCCUGGGUGAGGCUGUCUGAGGGCGGAGAUGGCGCAGAUGAGGGGCAAGGCCCAAAGGAAGGCAGGCAGGGGGUGCUGAUUACUUGGGGGAUCCUGUGUAAGGAGGGGAUCUGCAGAGCAGGGGAGUUGGGAAGGGUGGUAGGGAUCUGAGCCCAUGUCCUAUGCACAAGGCCUGACUCCUCCUGUGGCCAAGCUUGAGCUGCUCUGCUGCCUUUGUAGGCUGCUGUGUUAGUUUCCUCCAGCAGCCAUAAAAGUUACCUCCAUCUUGAUGGCUUAAAACAGUUAUGAAGGCCAGAAUUGAAAGAUGAGAUUAUUGGCAGGGUCUCACUCCCUCCUAAUGCUCUAGGGUAGAACCCUCCCUUGCCUCUGACAGCUUCUAGUGCAUGUCAGCAUGCCUCGGCUUCCCUGGAUGCAUGGCUCCAGUGUGCCUCAGUGGCCACAGUCCCUCCUCCUCCUCAUGUGUCUUCUCCUCUUCUGUCUGUUACAAAGGUACUCGUCAUUAAAUUCAGUGCCCACCUGGGUAACCCAGAAUGAUCUGAUCUCUUCAUUACUUCUGCAAGGACCCUUUUUUUGAAAGAAGGUCACAGUCACAGGUUCCAGGGGUUAGGAAAUGGACAUAAUGUUGGGGACCACCAUUCAACCCAUUACAGUUGCUGAGAGAAUUGUGAGGGCCUAAAUCUGUAUUGGUUUUUAAAAAACUUUUUUUUUUGGUUUCAGUUGAGACCACACAUAUUCACUGGGCUUGAAUUUGCAUGUGGUGUUCAGUGGCAGGCAAGCCAGCUUUCAGGAUGUCUGUUAUCCAAAGCUACACUCUUAGGGCACCUCCAGAUGACUCUCGGGCUUUCCAAUCUGAUCUUCUGCUUCUCCCCCUCCACGUGUGCCCUUCAUCUUGUGGUAGGCAAAUCAGACUCAAUACCUACGGAGAAAGCAAAGGACAUCAGUGACCAUCUAAUUCACAUGUGUUACAAAUGAUUGACACAACUCUAACUGACUCUGCCCUAGACUCCUAACAGAUACUAAUUAUCUACUGUGACACCAGUUCAGACAGAGCCUAUCUAUGAUGGUUAAUUUUGUGUCAACUUGAUGGGGCCACAGGAUGCCCAGAUGUCUGAUGAGCAUUGGAAUUGGUAUGCUGGGGAAAGCAGACUUCCCAGUGUGGGUGGGCCUCAUCCAGUUCAUUGAGGGCAUGGAUAGAACAAGAGGGUGAAGGAAGGUUGGAUUCACCCUCUCUCUGUCUGACUGCUUGAGUUGUACAUCAGUCUACCGCCUGCUCCUAGUUCUCAGGCCUUCGAACUCAGACUGAAAUCUACACUAUUGGCUCUCCACCUCUCAGGCCUUCAAAACACAGUGCUGGAAUUCCUGGGUUUCCAGAAAACACAGCACUGGAAUUCCUGGGUUUCCAGAGUGCAAAUAGCAGAUCCUGGGACUUCUCAGACUCUGUAAUCAAUACGUUAUAAGAAAUCACACACACACACACACACACACACACACACACACACACACACACACACACACACACGUUCUAUUGGUUCUGUUUCACUGGAGAACCGUGACUGAUACAGAGCUUCAGACCUCUCAGUCCAGGCCUCAGUAGCUGCUGUCAUGGGUUAGGGAUAGCACACAAAAUGAAAUCUCUGCCACUUCUGACCCAAAACGAGCCUCAUUUCAUAGAUAAGGAAACUGGGGCCCAUGGAGGAUGAGAUAAUUGAAAGGUGGUUGUCUAUUCAAGUGGUAUUUUAACAUUUCAUUUCCCAUGUCAAAAAAAAAAUAAGAUGAACAGCCUGUAGAUUUCCAAAUCAGGAUUUUUUUGACUUUAAAAACACCUAAUAUUGAACUGAUUUUCUUCAUAUUUUUUAAUAGCUUCCCAAGCCACAUAGAAACCUGGAGCCUGUCACCCUACCAGUGUGACUUAUGACAUACUGUACAGCCACUCUGUUCCAUAGCUUUCAGGAUCCAUCUGUUAGCUCAUAUAAAACAAAAUUUCUAUUAAAUGGGAUUUUAGAAAUAUUAUCAUGG
rnacentral:lncRNA from 1 species